AUUGAACGCUGGCGGCGGGCCUAAUACAUGCAAGUCGAACGGGUGGCGGAGGGGCGAGCAAUGGCUUGGCACCUGCCUGAUGGAGCGGGAUAACUAGUGUAAACGGUAGCUAAUACUGCAUACCACCCGUUGUGCCCUGAUGGGAUUAGCUAGUCGGUGGGGUAACGGCUCACCGAGGCGACGAUCCCUAGCUGGUCUGAGAGGAUGACCGGCCACACUGGAACUGAGACACGGUCCAGACUCCGACGGGAGGCAGCAGUAGGGAAUAUUGCGCAAUGGGCGAAAGUCUGAUCCAGCAAUGCCGCGUGUAUGAAGAAGGCCUUCGGGUUGUAAAGUACUGUCAGCGGGGAAGCGUUAUUCACAGAGGAAGCACCGGCUAACUCCGUGCCAGCAGCCGCGGUAAUUC
rnacentral:rRNA from 1 species